rnacentral:rRNA from 1 species
ACUCCUACGGGAGGCAGCAGUGGGGAAUAUUGCACAAUGGGCAGGCAAGCCAUGCAUGCAGCCAUGCCGCGUGUGUGAAGAAGGCCUUCGGGUUGUAAAGCACUUUCAGUUGUGAGGAAAGGUUAGUCGCUAAUAUCGGCUAGCUGUGACGUUAGCAACAGAAGAAGCACCGGCUAACUCCGUGCCAGCAGCCGCGGUAAUACGGAGGGUGCGAGCGUUAAUCGGAAUUACUGGGCGUAAAGCGCGUGUAGGUGGCUUGUUAAGCCAGAUGUGAAAGCCCCGGGCUCAACCUGGGAACUGCAUUUGGAACUGGCAGGCUAGAGUUUUGUAGAGGGUGGUAGAAUUUCAGGUGUAGCGGUGAAAUGCGUAGAGAUCUGAAGGAAUACCGGUGGCGAAGGCGACCACCUGGCCAAUAACUGACACUGAGACGCGAAGGCGUGGGUAGCAAACGGGAUUAGAUACCCUGGUAGCUCGAUGU